AGUGAACGCUGGCGGUAGGCCUAACACAUGCAAGUCGAACGGCAGCACAGUAAGAGCUUGCUCUUACGGGUGGCGAGUGGCGGACGGGUGAGGCAUACAUCGGAAUCUACUUUUUCGUGGGGGAUAACGUAGGGAAACUUACGCUAAUACCGCAUACGACCUACGGGUGAAAGCAGGGGAUCUUCGGACCUUGCGCGUUUGAAUGAGCCGAUGUCGGAUUAGCUAGUUGGCGGGGUAAAGGCCCACCAAGGCGACGAUCCGUAGCUGGCCUGAGAGGAUGAUCGGCCACACUGGAACUGAGACACGGUCCAGACUCCUACGGGAGGCAGCAGUGGGGAAUAUUGGACAAUGGGCGCAAGCCUGAUCCAGCCAUACCGCGUGGGUGAAGAAGGCCUUCGGGUUGUAAAGCCCUUUUGUUGGGAAAGAAAAGCAGCAGGUGAAUACCCCGCUGUUCUGACGGUACCCAAAGAAUAAGCACCGGCUAACUUCGUG
rnacentral:rRNA from 1 species